UGCUCAUGCAGCUUUAUACCAUCACUGACUGCAUGCCUGUACCCCUGGCCCUGGCAGUGGGCUACCAUGUUCCAUGUACACCAGCUAGGAUCUAGGAGUCAAGAGUCACCUGCAUCUGCAGCUUGAAAGAAAAGACAAUUGCAAAUUUUCUUAAAGAGUAGAUAGUACCACCAUCUCAAAGAAAAAAUUUACAAAUCACUGCUAUACCGUAUCGGCGUAUAACUCCACCAUGUACCAGCUUCAAAGAAAAAGGAUUUAAGUUAUGUUGCUCAUUGCUAAAUAAAUGUGUUUACGUGUUUCUUCCAGCUGCAGAUUUUACCGUACCUCGGCCCCACAAUGUGUACCAGCUAGGAGUUUACUUAACCACCUUCAUCGACUUCAAAGAAACGACUUGCAAGUUAUGUCAGAUUCCAUAAAACUAUAUAGCUAGCUAGAGGGCAACUGUCCCUGGUUUCGACCUUCAUCUGUAGCAUACUGAUUUACGAGUUUGUGUCUUCAUGUGUCAGUUACACUGGUUUCGACUGGUCAACUUCGUCCAUGGGGUGAUAGCUAGUAUACUGAUUUACGAGUUUGUGUGUAUGUGUCCUCAUGUGUCAGUUACACUGGUUUCGACUGGUCAACUUCGUCCAUGGGGUGAUAGCUAGCAUACUGAUUUACGAGUUUGUGUGUAUGUGUCCUCACGUGUCAGUUACACUGGUUUCGACUGGUCAACUUCGUCCAUGGGGUGAUAGCUAGCAUUGUAAUUUACCAGUUUGUGUGUAUGUGUCCUCAUGCGUCAGUUACACUGGUUUCGACUGGUCAACUUCGUCCAUGGGGUGAUAGCUAGCAUUGUAAUUUACGAGUUUGUGUGUAUGUGU